rnacentral:rRNA from 1 species
CGUAGGUAACCUGCCUGGUAGCGGGGGAUAAUAUUGGAAACGAUAGCUAAUACCGCAUAAGAGUAGAUGUUGCAUGACAUUUACUUAAAAGAUGCAAUUGCAUCACUACCAGAUGGACCUGCGUUGUAUUAGCUAGUUGGUGGGGUAACGGCUCACCAAGGCGACGAUACAUAGCCGACCUGAGAGGGUGAUCGGCCACACUGGGACUGAGACACGGCCCAG